UAUGGAGAGUUUGAUCCUGGCUCAGAGUGAACGCUGGCGGCGUGCCUAAUACAUGCAAGUCGAACGAUGAAGCUUCUAGCUUGCUAGAGUGCUGAUUAGUGGCGCACGGGUGAGUAACGCAUAGGUCAUGUGCCUCUUAGUUUGGGAUAGCCAUUGGAAACGAUGAUUAAUACCAGAUACUCCCUACGGGGGAAAGAUUUAUCGCUAAGAGAUCAGCCUAUGUCCUAUCAGCUUGUUGGUAAGGUAAUGGCUUACCAAGGCUAUGACGGGUAUCCGGCCUGAGAGGGUGAACGGACACACUGGAACUGAGACACGGUCCAGACUCCUACGGGAGGCAGCAGUAGGGAAUAUUGCUCAAUGGGGGAAACCCUGAAGCAGCAACGCCGCGUGGAGGAUGAAGGUUUUAGGAUUGUAAACUCCUUUUGUUAGAGAAGAUAAUGACGGUAUCUAACGAAUAAGCACCGGCUAACUCCGUGCCAGCAGCCGCGGUAAUACGGAGGGUGCAAGCGUUACUCGGAAUCACUGGGCGUAAAGAGCGCGUAGGCGGGAUAGUCAGUCAGGUGUGAAAUCCUAUGGCUUAACCAUAGAACUGCAUUUGAAACUACUAUUCUAGAGUGUGGGAGAGGUAGGUGGAAUUCUUGGUGUAGGGGUAAAAUCCGUAGAGAUCAAGAGGAAUACUCAUUGCGAAGGCGACCUGCUGGAACAUUACUGACGCUGAUUGCGCGAAAGCGUGGGGAGCAAACAGGAUUAGAUACCCUGGUAGUCCACGCCCUAAACGAUGGAUGCUAGUUGUUGGAGGGCUUAGUCUCUCCAGUAAUGCAGCUAACGCAUUAAGCAUCCCGCCUGGGGAGUACGGUCGCAAGAUUAAAACUCAAAGGAAUAGACGGGGACCCGCACAAGCGGUGGAGCAUGUGGUUUAAUUCGAAGAUACACGAAGAACCUUACCUAGGCUUGACAUUGAGAGAAUCCGCUAGAAAUAGUGGAGUGUCUAGCUUGCUAGACCUUGAAAACAGGUGCUGCACGGCUGUCGUCAGCUCGUGUCGUGAGAUGUUGGGUUAAGUCCCGCAACGAGCGCAACCCCCUUUCUUAGUUGCUAACAGGUUAUGCUGAGAACUCUAAGGAUACUGCCUCCGUAAGGAGGAGGAAGGUGGGGACGACGUCAAGUCAUCAUGGCCCUUACGCCUAGGGCUACACACGUGCUACAAUGGGGUGCACAAAGAGAAGCAAUACUGUGAAGUGGAGCCAAUCUUCAAAACACCUCUCAGUUCGGAUUGUAGGCUGCAACUCGCCUGCAUGAAGCUGGAAUCGCUAGUAAUCGCAAAUCAGCCAUGUUGCGGUGAAUACGUUCCCGGGUCUUGUACUCACCGCCCGUCACACCAUGGGAGUUGUGUUUGCCUUAAGUCAGGAUGCUAAAUUGGCUACUGCCCACGGCACACACAGCGACUGGGGUGAAGUCGUAACAAGGUAACCGUAGGUGAACCUGCGGUUGGAUCACCUCCUUU
rnacentral:rRNA from 1 species